rnacentral:misc_RNA from 1 species
AGAGAGUCCCGCUACAUUCCCGGGUCUAGGCUGAUGGUCUAACCUGCUAUUUAUCUCUCUUUUAUGUAAAAAUCUUAACUUAAUUAUUAAUUAAUGAUGAACUAUUUUAAUAUUUGCUCAUGUUAAAUGUCAGUACGACUUUUACUGUCCUGAAUCAUCAGUAUUAAUUUCUGGUUGUUUUAUGCAUUUUCUAUUUGUACUGCUGAGUUAUAUUUUUGAACAUGGCUCCAUAUAGCCUAUAUUUUUUACUUCAAUUUCUACUAUAUUCUCGAUUCUUCAAUUAUUUUUGUAGAAACUGAUUUAUGGAAGAAUAUUUUUGGUAUCUGUUAUAUAUUCUUUUUAAGAAAAUAAUCCACUUCCAUUCUAUGUAAACAUCGUUUGUAUAGUUGUCUGUGUUCAAAGUCCUAUGUCAAGUUCACAAUUUUAUUUGAGAAAUAUAUACUUUACUGUGUAUUUUGGAAGAAUGUUAUAUUGAGAAAAAAAAUCGUUUUUUAUACGAGAAACAUUCGUUAAGUUUGAAAAGGCCUCUCUCAGGUAGAUAGAGCUACUUGUGUAGUUUCGUAUUCCAACAUCAGCUUUGAUUUUGUUUGUAUGCAAUGGUUUGUUAAUCGUGAUAUUCUAUAGAUGCUAUGGGUUGACUGUGAUAUUUUAUAUUAUAUAUAUACACACCAUCAUGUAUUUGUUAGAGCCUAAUCGAUGAAGAGCCUGUGCCGAAGUCAGCACAAAUAAACUUGUUAUCUUUGUAUGUGUCAAAUGCUUUUGUGAAUAGUCAUAUCAAAUAAAUAUUUGAAUGAUUU